GACCAACAGGGAUUGCCUCAGUAACGGCGAGUGAAGCGGCAAAAGCUCAAAUUUGAAAUCUAGUCCAUUAUAUGGGCUCGAAUUGUAAUUUGCAGAGGAAACUUUGGUGCGAUCAUGGUCUAAGUUCCUUGGAACAGGACAUCACAGAGGGUGAGAAUCCCGUAUGUGGCUAUUGAUUCAAUCCGUGUAAAGUUCCUUCAACGAGUCGAGUUGUUUGGGAAUGCAGCUCUAAAUGGGAGGUAAAUUUCUUCUAAAGCUAAAUAUUGGCCAGAGACCGAUAGCGAACAAGUAGAGUGAUCGAAAGAUGAAAAGCACUUUGGAAAGAGAGUUAAACAGUAUGUGAAAUUGUUGAAAGGGAAGCGCUUGCAAUCAGACUUGUUUAUAG
rnacentral:rRNA from 1 species